CAUGAAGAUGAAGUCUUUCCGUGACCUCCUCGUAUGGCGCUUUUGGAACUCGAACCAAGUUGAGAUUGUUUCUGUCAUGAAAUCCUUGCAGAACUCCUACCAUCAAGAAGAUAACAAAGAACUGAGGUAGAAAUGCAAGUAUUUUCCAAACAGGAGGCGGGUAAGAGCAUCAGUGAUAACCUUUAGUAGCACCCACUUUCCCAGGUUUGUAUCAGGCAAAUUGAAUUUCAAAAACCAGAUUUUCUACAGCCAGGAUGUCCUUCCUGUUGCCAACACUCAUUUCUAUUCCAUGCAAUAUUUUCCCAAGCCUGGAUACAAAGGACAUGCUCUUAAAAUGGUGACAAUUGUUUGUGGCUCUUACACAAAGGCAAGGGGACACAAACACCCACCGCACAUAUAAGAUGGGC